GUCUAGCCUUAGUGCUUAGUGCCCUGUUCGAGAGGAGGCUGGGGGUCAAUUUCUCGCUGUUCGAGACUGGAGUCUGGCCGGGUUAUUGGGGCAAGUCCAGGGAGAUCCUGUAAAGAAAGCCCAUUGAGGCAGUACUAUACUUUGUACUCACAAUGGUCCCUGAAGCAAAUCCCUGAAGUAAUCAUCUAAAUUCGAGUAUUCAG